GACGGAGGAUGCAAGUGUUAUCCGGAAUCACUGGGCGUAAAGCGUCUGUAGGUGGUCAAAUAAGUCAACUGUUAAAUCUUGAGGCUCAACCUCAAAAUCGCAGUCGAAACUAUUAGACUAGAGUAUAGUAGGGGUAAAGGGAAUUUCCAGUGGAGCGGUGAAAUGCGUAGAGAUUGGAAAGAACACCGAUGGCGAAAGCACUCUGCUGGGCCGACACUGACACUGAGAGACGAAAGCUAGGGGAGCGAAUGGG
rnacentral:rRNA from 1 species